UACGUAGGGUGCAAGCGUUGUCCGGAAUUAUUGGGCGUAAAGGGCUCGUAGGCGGAUUGUCACGUCUGCUGUGAAAAUCCAAGGCUCAACCUUGGACUUGCAGUGGGUACGGGCAGGCUAGAGUGCGGUAGGGGAGAUGGGAAUUCCUGGUGUAGCGGUGGAAUGCGCAGAUAUCAGGAGGAACACCAAUGGCGAAGGCACAUCUCUGGGCCGUAACUGACGCUGAGGAGCGAAAGCGUGGGGAGCGAACAGGAUUAGAUACCCUGGUAGUCCACGCCGUAAACGGUGGGUGCUAGCUGUGGGCCACAUUCCACGUGGUCCGUGACGAAGUUAACACAUUAAGCACCCCGCCUGGGGAGUACGGCCGCAAGGCUAAAACUCAAAGGAAUUGACGGGGGCCCGCACAAGCGGCGGAGCAUGCGGAUUAAUUCGAUGCAACGCGAAGAACCUUACCAAGGCUUGACAUAUAGAGGAAAAGUGCAGAAAUGCACUCCCCGCAAGGUCUCUAUACAGGUGGUGCAUGGUUGUCGUCAGCUCGUGUCGUGAGAUGUUGGGUUAAGUCCCGCACCGAGCGCAACCCUCGUCCUAUGUUGGCAGCACGUAAUGGUGGGAACUCAUGGGAUACUGCCGGGGUCAACUCGGAGGAAGGUGGGGAUGACGUCAAAUCAUCAUGCCCCUUAUGUCUUGGGCUUCACGCAUGCUACAAUGGCCGGUACAUGAGGGCUGCAAUACCGCAAGGUGGAGCGGAUCCCAAAAAGCCGGUCUCAGUUCGGAUUGAGGUGUGCAACUCGACCUCAUGAAGUCGGAGUCGCUAGUAAUCGUAGAUCAGCAACGCUACGGUGAAUACGUUCCCGGGCCU
rnacentral:rRNA from 1 species